rnacentral:rRNA from 1 species
UGGGGAAUAUUGCACAAUGGGCGCAAGCCUGAUGCAGCCAUGCCGCGUGUAUGAAGAAGGCCUUCGGGUUGUAAAGUACUUUCAGCGGGGAGGAAGGGAGUAAAGUUAAUACCUUUGCUCAUUGACGUUACCCGCAGAAGAAGCACCGGCUAACUCCGUGCCAGCAGCCGCGGUAAUACGGAGGGUGCAAGCGUUAAUCGGAAUUACUGGGCGUAAAGCGCAUGCAGGCGGUUGAUUGAGUCAGAUGUGAAAUCCCCAGGCUUAACCCGGGAAUUGCAUCUGAUACUGGUCAGCUAGAGUCUUGUAGAGGGGGGUAGAAUUCCAUGUGUAGCGGUGAAAUGCGUAGAGAUGUGGAGGAAUACCGGUGGCGAAGGCGGCCCCCUGGACAAAGACUGACGCUCAGGUGCGAAAGCGUGGGGAGCAAACAGG